rnacentral:lncRNA from 1 species
CAGUUUGUGUACUUUUUUUUUUAAGGUCAUGGAAGCUGAAGAUUGGAAAAGCAAAUAGAAGAAAAUAAAUUCUUCAGCUUGGAGAUAAGCAGGAAACCCAAAGAACAUGUUCUUAAGUAUAAGACCUCAGUAAUAAUAUUGAAUAGAAAUUCAACUAAAUGGAGCUGACAGAAGCCCAGACAGGCAACCAGGAGAUUCUUGUGGCCUGCCCCUGUUUCAUCUUCUGCCAUGAGUAAAAGCUCCCUGAGGCCUCCUGAAGCCGAGCAAAUGCUGACACUGUUUUCUGUACAGCCUGCAGAGCUAUGAACGUGUCUCUGCUGCAAGGCACCGGGCCCUUUCGCUCUGCAGAACUGCACUUGCAAGACCAUUAUCAACUCCUAAUCCCAGCUCAGAAAGGGAGCCUCUGCGACUCAUUCAUCGCCCUCCAGACUUUCUCCAGUCAAUCCUUGGCAUCCUACAGAGAUGGUCUUCCUCAGUCUUCAGUCUCUGUAACGAUACCAGCCCUUGUUUAGAGACCCAGAGU